AGUGAACGCUGGCGGUAGGCCUAACACAUGCAAGUCGAACGGCAGCACAGUAAGAGCUUGCUCUUACGGGUGGCGAGUGGCGGACGGGUGAGGAAUACAUCGGAAUCUACUUUUUCGUGGGGGAUAACGUAGGGAAACUUACGCUAAUACCGCAUACGACCUACGGGUGAAAGCAGGGGAUCUUCGGACCUUGCGCGAUUGAAUGAGCCGAUGUCGGAUUAGCUAGUUGGCGGGGUAAAGGCCCACCAAGGCGACGAUCCGUAGCUGGUCUGAGAGGAUGAUCGGCCACACUGGAACUGAGACACGGUCCAGACUCCUACGGGAGGCAGCAGUGGGGAAUAUUGGACAAUGGGCGAAAGCCUGAUCCAGCCAUACCGCGUGGGUGAAGAAGGCCUUCGGGUUGUAAAGCCCUUUUGUUGGGAAAGAAAAGCAGCAGGUUAAUACCCCGCUGUUCUGACGGUACCCAAAGAAUAAGCACCGGCUAACUUCGUG
rnacentral:rRNA from 1 species